rnacentral:tRNA from 1 species
GGGGCUAUAGCUCAGUGGUAGAGUGUGUGCUUAGCAUGUAUGAGGUCCUGGGUAAAAUCCCCAGUUCUUCUA